rnacentral:rRNA from 1 species
AAUGAACGUUGGCGGCGUGGAUUAGGCAUGCAAGUCGAGCGAGAACCGGUUUCGGCCGGGGACAGCGGCGAACGGCGUAGUAAUGCAUCGGAACGUACCCUCUGGUCGGGGAUAGCUACGGGAAACUGUAGGUAAUACCCGAUAAACUCUGCGGAGCAAAGGUGAGAUUCCGCCGGAGGAGCGGCUGAUGUGAUAUUAGCUAGUUGGUGGGGUAAAGGCUUACCAAGGCGAUGAUGUCUAGGGGGUGUGAGAGCAUGGCCCCCACGACCGGAACUGAGAUACUGUCCGGACACCUACGGGUGGCUGCAGUCGAGAAUCUUCCGCAAUGGACGAAAGUCUGACGGAGCGACGCCGCGUGCGGGAUGAAGGCCCUUGGGUUGUAAACCGCUGUCAGAGGGGAUGAAAUCUCCGAAGGUACUCCUUCGGAGUUGACAGAGCCUCAAAGGAAGCACGGGCUAAGUACGUGCCAGCAGCCGCAGUAAAAC